AUUCCAAUCGAACUUGGAGAUAGCUGGUUCUCCCCGAAAUAGCUUUAGGGCUAGCGUUGGGAAUGAGUUUAGCGGAGGUAAAGCACUGAAUGAGCUAGGGGGCGCAAGCUUACUGAACUCUAUCAAACUAAGAAUGCCGCAUAAAUGCUUCCCAGCAGUCAGACUGCGAGUAAUAAAAUCCGUGGUCAAAAGGGUAACAGCCCAGACCCACAGCUAAGGUCCCCAAUACAUGCUAAGUGGAAAACGAUGUGAGAUUGCAUAAACAACCAGGAUGUUGGCUUAGAGGCAGCCACUCGUUCAAAGAGUGCGUAAUAGCUCACUGGUCGAGUGAUCUUGCGCGGAAAAUUUAACGGGGCUAAGCAUGUAACCGAAGCUUAGGGUUUACAGCAAUGUAAGCGGUAGGGGAGCGUCGAAUACGGGGUGAAGUCAUACCGAAAGGAAUGGUGGACUGUAUUCGAGUGAGAAUGCCGGAAUGAGUAGCGAGAAUUAUGUGGGAAUCAUAAUGGCCGAAAAUCUAAGGUUUCUUGGGGAAGGUUCGUCCGCCCAAGGUAAGCCGGGAGCUAAGGCGAGGCCGCAAGGCGUAGUCGAUGCACAUACGGUAGAAAUUCCGUAGCCACCGAACUUUAAACCAGAAGGACACUUUCAGAUAGCGGGACCCAGCCGUUGGUAGAGCUGGGCGCAAGGGACCGAAAUAUAGUAGGGAAGUCCGCGAUGCUGGGAGGCGAGAAAAGCUCUGGUGUACACUAAGGUGCCCGUACCGCAAACCGACACAGGUAGAUGAGGAGAGAAUCCUAAGGCCAACGGGAGAAGGGUUGUUAAGGAACUCGGCAAAUUGACCCCGUAACUUCGGAAGAAGGGGAGCCUCGAAAGAGGCCGCAGUGAAUAGGCCCAAGCAACUGUUUACCAAAAACACAGGUCUAUGCUAAAUCGAAAGAUGACGUAUAUGGGCUGACGCCUGCCCGGUGCCGGAAGGUUAAGAGGAGAGCUUAGCGCAAGCGAAGGUUUGAAUUGAAGCCCCGGUAAACGGCGGCCGUAACUAUAACGGUCCUAAGGUAGCGAAAUUCCUUGUCAGGUAAG
rnacentral:rRNA from 1 species